ACCAACCCUACCCGAGCCGCCCCCUCGUCUCUCUUAUCCCCUCCCUCCCUCUCUCUCUCUCUCUCUCUCUCUCAAGCACACAACAGCAACAACUCCGGCCAUGGGAGACCUUCGUCCGGCCGCACCGUGGACGGAGAAGAAGACGAAUCUUGGCUCGAUCUACCGCCUCACCGAUCCAAACUUCAUCGGUUUCCUCUGUACUGACUGACCCAUGGAAUUUUUGCAGAUCCAUUCUUUGCCCAAGGGGAUUACGCAUAACCCAGCGUGUCAAGAUCCACUCGGGCGCACGCGCGUCUUGGGCCACCUCUCCGUUAGUGGGCCGCUGGCAGCCGGCCCAGGCGUGCCGUCAGCCCAAUGGAGGGCCGCAUCCUGCCUGCGAAACACUCGGCCGCCUCCUCGCCCACCCAGUGCGCUGGGGUUUUAGACGCCCACCUGCCACCGCCUCCCCGUCCCCAUUUCGCACCCGUCGGCGAGCCCCUCCCCCUCCCCUCCGCCGCCCCUCUCCUCCAACGCCGCCUGCGCCAGGCGAAGGAUGCCUCCAAUGGCGGGAGAAGGUAACCCUGGUGAGGGAGGAGGAGGUGAGGCGGGAGGAGGAGGAGGUCCGACGGGCCGUGCACCACCGACGCCACCACCGGCCGCUCCAACCUCGACCCAUGGACGGUAAGAUCGCGAAACCCCUUUCCCCG